rnacentral:lncRNA from 1 species
UGAGUUCCCCCACAACCAUAGCAUCAAUUCGCUAUGUUCCCUUCUCUCUCCUCCUGUUCCUCUCCCUUCCUGCGAUGCCUUCUACUCUUCUUCCUCCUCCUCAACCAUUCCUCUCCAGCCACCGCCGGUCUCCUCGGCCAAAUAUGCGGCAAGACCGGCAAGUACACCACCAACAGCACCUACGCUUCCAACCUCAACCUCCUCCUCACCUCCCUCGACUCCAACACUUCCCUCUUCGGUGGCUUCUCCAAAGCCACCAUCGGUCAGAUCCCCAACCGAAUCUACGGUCUCG